rnacentral:rRNA from 1 species
CCUACGGGAGGCAGCAGUGGGGAAUAUUGGACAAUGGGCGAAAGCCUGAUCCAGCCAUGCCGCGUGUGUGAAGAAGGCCUUCGGGUUGUAAAGCACUUUCAGUGGGGAAGAAAGCCUUGGGGCUAAUACCCCCGAGGAAGGACAUCACCCACAGAAGAAGCACCGGCUAACUCCGUGCCAGCAGCCGCGGUAAUACGGAGGGUGCGAGCGUUAAUCGGAAUUACUGGGCGUAAAGCGCGCGUAGGCGGUCUGAUAAGCCGGUUGUGAAAGCCCCGGGCUCAACCUGGGAACGGCAUCCGGAACGGUCAGGCUAGAGGGCAGGAGAGGAAGGUAGAAUUCCCGGUGGAGCGGUGAAAUGCGUAGAGAUCGGGAGGAAUACCAGUGGCGAAGGCGGCCUUCUGGACUGACACUGACGCUGAGGUGCGAAAGCGUGGGUAGCAAACAGGAUUAGAUACCCCAGUAGUC